UGGACAGAUUAUUGUAUUCGACUGUAUUCACGGCGUAAAAUAGGGGAUUACACUGUUUUUAAAAUGGAAAGUGAAUCAAUUAACAUAAUAGACUCCU
rnacentral:pre_miRNA from 1 species